rnacentral:rRNA from 1 species
AACGAACGCUGGCGGCGCGUUUUAAGCAUGCAAGUCGAACGGGAUUCAAGUGCUUGCACUUGAUGAGAGUGGCGAACGGGUGAGUAACACGUAAGUGAUCUGCCCUGGGGAUGGGGAUAGCUCAUGGAAACAUGGGGUAAGACCGAAUACCGUAACACUAUUUGAAGGUUAUGUUACGAAAAGAGCUACGGCUCUGCCCUGGGAUGAGCUUGCGGCCCAUUAGCUAGUUGGUGAGGUAAAGGCCCACCAAGGCAACGAUGGGUAGCCGGCCUGAGAGGGUGAACGGCCACAUUGGGACUGAGACACGGCCCAGACUCCUACGGGAGGCAGCAGCUAAGAAUCUUCCGCAAUGGGCGAAAGCCUGACGGAGCGACGCCGCGUGAACGAAGAAGGCAGAGAUGUUGUAAAGUUCUUUUCCUGUUGAAGAAUAAGUGGAAGAGGGAAUGCUUCCAUGAUGACGUUAGACAGGGAAUAAGCCACGGCUAAUUACGUG